AUGUUCAUAAAGACAAAGUAUGGUGGCCAAUUACUCACUGCAGUUGGUAUUGAUGGCAAUGACUCAAUUUAUCCUAUUGCAAUGGCAGUGGUGGAGACAGAAUGUUAUGCAUCUUGGAACUGGUUCCUUUGUACACUGAAGCAAGACCUCAACAUAAUUAACACAAGCACAAUCACUAUCAUGAGUGACAAAUAG
rnacentral:rRNA from 1 species